AUAGUCUCCGACGCACCUCCAAACCCUUUCUCCUGCUCUAGGCCCAGCGCCUUGGACGUGCACAGUAGAUCCCUCCCGGCUUCCCGGCUUCCCGUCUCGUCACCCUCUGGGCUGUGACCAUCUAUGACAAGCCGGCAUCUUUCUUUAAAGAGACACCUCUGGACCUGCUGCACCGGCUCUUCAUGAAGCUGGGUGGCACUCACUCUCUGUUCAGGGCCUGCUCAGAACCUGAGGACGCAGCCAUGGAGCGGUCGGCCUUCAUGGAGCUGGAUGCUGGGAGCAGGCUGGUGAUGCAUCUCCGCGAGUGGCCAGCCCUGCUGGUCAGCAGCACGGGCUGGACAGGGUCGGUGGACCUGGGUGUCUGUCUGCACAUGUCCUCCAGUGGCCUGGACCUGCCCAUGAAGGUGGUGGACAUGUUCGGGUGCUGUUUGCCUGUGUGUGCCGUGAACUUCAAGUGUUUACAUGAGCUGGUGAAACAUGAAGAAAAUGGCCUGGUCUUUGAGGACUCAGAGGAACUGGCAGCUCUGCAGAUGCUUUUCUCAAACUUUCCUGAUCCUGCAGGCAAGCUAAACCAGUUUUGGAAGAACCUGCGGGAGUCGCAGCAGCUCCGAUGGGAUGAGAGCUGGGUGCAGACUGUGCUCCCUUUGGUUAUGGACAUACAACUCCUGGGCCAGAGGCUAAAACCCCGGGACCCCUGCUGUCCUUCCCGCAGCUUCUUCUCGGAGUCUCAGGGCAAACCCUUUUGAGCAGCGCCUCCCAGUGGCCAGAAGCUGAAAUGACGGCAGUGGUGCCGCCUGGUGAAUGAAUUGGUUCUGUGACCCGGGAAGCUGUGCUUGGCUCUGAUUUCUUUUCCGGAGGCUCGGAAACACUUCCUCUCUUCUUCUGUUCUUCAUGCCCCAUGCCCCUGCUAGCGUAUUACUGUUCUGUGACUUCCCUGUGACCUCUGCAGUACUCCUUAUCCUGCGUUUGGUCUCCAGGUGUCACCUUUCUGCCGUGUUCCUAACAUUUUGAUUCCUGUCUUGAAAAAAGCACCUGCUGCAUCGUAAGCCCAGGGAUGUGGCAGCUGCAGCGGGCUUGGCUUUGUGAAGAACUGAGUGUGUCCGCGGAUGUGGCAGCUGCAGCAGUCUUGGCUUUGUGAGGAACCAAGUGUGUCCAGGGAUGUGGCAGCUGCAGCAGGCUUGGCUUUGUGAGGAACCGAGUGUGUCCACAUACUUGAUACACACGUUUUUAUUUGCACAAAGAAAAUGCUAUUUUUGGA
ensembl:lncRNA novel transcript